CAGGGCCGGGCAUGCAUUUCUAAGGCUACACUCCGGACACCUACGCGCACUAGGAGCUUUCCGGAAAACCCAGCGCUGAAACUGUGAAGCUGCCCUGUUUAGAGUCACUUGGUUACACACCGGUGACGCCGACGGCCGGACUCUCCCCAACACGCAGACCGCGCAGGGGGAUCCGGGGCCGACUCACCAGGCCAGAUUACUGAUCAUCCGGUGCCUAAAGGUAUUACCAACCCUGAGCCGCCAGCACCCGGCCCUGCCCAUCCCAUCCCCUCCGCCCCGAGCGACCGAAGCGCGGAGGAACUCGUUGGCGCGCGCCAGGGGUGGGGUAGGGAGUGGCGGCGUGGUGACGUCAGGGCGGAAGCGCACGCUGCGUGCAGCGGCCUGGAAGCCGGCGGUCACGGGAAUAUCCGUCGCGCCGAGGACGCUGGUUAGUCUCGCUUUGGGUUCCGGCUGCGUCGGGCGUGCGUGUAGCUCGCUGGAACUAUGGCGUCCGGGCCUCACCCGACCUCGACCGCUGCCGCCGCCUCCGCCUCAUCCGCCGCCCCGAGCGCGGGCGGCUCCAGCUCCGGCACGACGACCACCACGACGACUACGACCGGAGGGAUCCUGAUUGGCGACCGCCUGUACUCGGAGGUGUCGCUUACCAUCGACCACUCGCUGAUUCCGGAGGAGCGGCUCUCGCCCACCCCGUCCAUGCAGGACGGCCUCGACCUGCCCAGCGAGACGGACCUGCGCAUCUUGGGCUGCGAGCUCAUCCAGGCCGCCGGCAUUCUCCUCCGGCUGCCGCAGGUGGCGAUGGCUACGGGGCAGGUGUUGUUUCAUCGUUUUUUCUACUCCAAGUCUUUCGUCAAACACAGUUUCGAGAUUGUUGCCAUGGCCUGUAUUAAUCUUGCAUCAAAAAUCGAAGAAGCGCCAAGAAGAAUAAGAGAUGUGAUUAAUGUAUUUCACCACCUCCGCCAGUUAAGAGGAAAAAGGACUCCAAGCCCCCUGAUCCUUGAUCAGAACUACAUUAACACCAAAAAUCAAGUUAUCAAGGCAGAGAGGAGGGUGCUAAAGGAGUUGGGAUUUUGUGUUCAUGUCAAGCAUCCCCAUAAGAUCAUUGUAAUGUAUUUACAAGUCUUAGAAUGUGAACGUAACCAAACCCUGGUUCAAACUGCCUGGGUAGUCCAUGAUGGUAAGUCAUAGAACCCUCUGCACUUCAGCCCAUGACCUCAGGAUGGCCUGAUUGGCUAGCCUGCUCUCCAGCCAAUCCAGUGCAAGCUCUCAUCCGAGAUUCACUGAAGUGGUCCAUAUCCAUCUGGCAGCAUCUUCUAGUUCUGUCGGGGUGUCAAAAGGAUUUGUAUAUUGCUUCUAGAAGUAACUAUGCAUCAUGCCUAUGUAUUAAUUUAAUGUAUACCUGUAACUAUCAAAAUGAAUAUUUCAUUUUUGAUAGAUUGUUGUCCAGCCAUUAUGAAUUGGUUUUUUUUUUUUUUUUAAUUGGGUUCAAUUAAAUUUCUACUUGCAGUGUGUAUAGCAUCCUUUCUACCACAGGAGGCUGAGGCUACCUUACACUUGUAGCCAUUUUUUAGGUUUCUCCAGCUAUUGAGCUGUUACAGGCAGUGAUAUAAGAAGCAAUUUUAAAAAGAGAAGUUAAUGUUAUUUAAGUAUUUUUGACCUUGAACCUUUGAGGGAGGCUAAGCAAGGAAAUUGUGGUUUAGUCAUAAAUGAUUUAUGUAACUGCUGGUAAACACACAUUAAAUAAUUCUGGAUUUUUCAGAAAUGUCUUUUUAUGACUGCCAUGCUCCUCUUGGAUUCAGUAGAUACUGAAUUGUAACAUUUGAAAAGCCACAUUGCUUUAUAAAAUGCAUGAGGUUUUUAAUGUGUUCUGUGCGGCAAAUACGGUAAUGAAUAAAAGCAUUUGAUAGAAAUAAUCCACUUAAUUUCCAGCUCAGGCUUUUCAGCAAAUUGUAAAGUUUUCUAGUUAAGAAAUUUCGUGGGAAAGUUUCACUAGAGAUUUCUAAGUUUAUUUACUUGAACUUAGGUCAUUGCUUUUAUUUAUACUUAAUUGCACAAAGGUAUAUUAAGGCCAUUGCUAUUUAUUGUUCACUUCUCUACCUAGUUUUUUGGAAGUGUCUUUUUUUUUUUUAUAAGUCAUUUGGUGGGUUCUUACUAAAAAUGCCUUUUAACCCCUGUUCAUAGUAUUUCUAAAGAACUUGAUUGACACUGCUUUUCAUUAUGGAUAAAGGAGAGAUGGUCAGUAACUAAGGCUUGAAGUAUUGUUGGGAGUGGUGAAUUCUGAACUUAUGUCAGAAAUGACUUUCAAAGCAUUGCUUUUUAUAACAUGUUAAAAAAAGAAGGCUUUGGGGAUAAGAUCUAUAUGAGUAAUGUAGAAUUAUUUAAAGUGCUGUAGGGGAACAGUUAGAAACUGACAUGGUACAAUUUAAAGAUAUGAAUAUAAUGAGAAGAAAAAAGAAUGAAGUAGAUUGAGUCUCCAAUUUUAUGUGUACUUCAGGAGAAUUGGUUUGCUUAUGAACUAAGCUUACAGCUGAAAUGUUUUUCAGGAAUUAUAUGAAUGACAGUCUUCGAACCAAUGUUUUUGUUCGAUUUCAACCAGAGACAAUAGCGUGUGCUUGUAUCUACCUUGCAGCUAGAGCACUUCAAAUUCCGUUACCAACUCGGCCCCAUUGGUUUCUUCUGUUUGGUACUACAGAAGAGGAGAUUCAGGAAAUCUGCAUAGAGACACUUAGACUUUAUACCAGGAAAAAGCCUAACUAUGAAUUGCUGGAAAAAGAAGUAGAAAAAAGAAAAGUAGCCUUACAGGAAGCCAAGUUAAAAGCAAAGGGAUUGAAUCUUGAUGGAACUCCAGCCCUUUCAACUCUUGGUGGAUUUUCUCCAGCCUCUAAACCAUCAUCACCAAGAGAAGUAAAAGCUGAAGAGAAAUCACCAGUCUCCGUUAAUGUGAAGACAGUCAAAAAAGAACCUGAGGAGAGACAGCAGGCUUCAAAAAGCCCUUAUAAUGGGGUAAGAAAAGACAGCAAGAGAAGCAGAAACAGCAGAAGUGCUAGUAGAUCAAGAUCAAGAACCAGGUCACGCUCUAGAUCACACACCCCAAGAAGACAUUAUAAUAAUAGGCGAAGUCGAUCUGGAACAUACAGCUCAAGAUCAAGAAGCAGGUCUCGCAGUCACAGUGAAAGCCCUCGAAGACAUCAUAAUCAUGGUUCUCCUCACCUUAAGGCCAAACAUACCAGAGAAGAUUUAAAAAGUUCAAAUAGACACGGUCAUAAAAGGAAAAAAUCUCGGUCUCGAUCUCAGAGCAAGACUCGGGAUCACUCAGAUGUUACCAAGAAACACAGGCAUGAAAGGGGACAUCACAGAGACAGGCGUGAAAGAUCUCGCUCCUUUGAGAGGUCUCAUAAAGGCAAGCACCAUGGUGGCAGUCGCUCAGGACAUGGCAGGCAUAGGCGCUGACUUUCAUCCUCUGGCACUGCAUCGGUUCCUGGUGUUGUCCACAUGCAGUAUGAUGUAUGGACUCAAUCAAAACAAAAAGCAAACUGAUUAGGAAUUGAUUUAUUAAAAUUGUCUAGGUUUCUAGAAACACUGAGGACAUUUUCUUUGGAAAAGAACUAUGUUAAGGUUUUUUGCACAUUAAAAUGCCCUAGCAGUAUCUAAUUGAAAACCAUGGUCAGGUUCAAUUGUACUUUAUUAUAGUUGUGUAUUGUUUAUUGCUAUAAGAACUGGAGCGUGAAUUCUGUAAAAAUGUAUCUUAUUUUUAUACAGAUAAAACUUGCAGACACUGUUCUAUUUAAGUGGUUAUUUGUUUAAAUGAUGGUGAAUACUUUCUUAACACUGGUUUGUCUGCAUGUGUAAAGAUUUUUACAAGGAAAUAAAAUGCAAAUCUUGUU